rnacentral:snRNA from 1 species
AAAAAGGGCUUCUGUCAUGAGUGACACACGUAGGGCAGCUCAUUUGCUCUAUGUGCGAAAUUGACAUCAAGAGAUUUCAAAAACAUGAUUUUUGUUUUUUGGACACCUGGUGAUUGUUGGUCCUG